GAUGAACGCUAGCGGCAGGCCUAAUACAUGCAAGGCUAGGGGGCAGCAAUGUCACCGUCGAACGGGUGCGUAACGCGUAUGCAACCUACCUAUCACUGGGGGAUAGCCCGGGGAAACCCGGAUUAAUACCGCAUGAUACAUAGAGAAUACCUAUUUUUUAUGUUAAAGAUUUAUCGGUGGUAGAUGGGCAUGCGUCUGAU
rnacentral:rRNA from 1 species